rnacentral:rRNA from 1 species
GAUGAACGCUGGCGGCGUGCCUAAUACAUGCAAGUCGAGCGAACAGACGAGGUGCUUGCUCCUCUGACAUUAUCGGCGGAAGUGUGAGUAACACGUGGAUAACCUACCUAUAAGACUGGGAUAACUUCGGGAAACCGGAGCUAAUACCGGAUAAUAUAUUGAACCGCAUGGUUCAAUAGUGAAAGACGGUUUUGCUGUCACUUAUAGAUGGAUCCGCGCCCCAUGAGCUAGUUGGUAAGGUAGCGGCUUACCAAGGCAACGAUGCGUAGCCGACAUGAGAUGGAGAUCGGCCACACGGGAACUGAGGCACGGUCCAGACUCCGACGGGAGGACACAGUAGGGAAUCUUCCGGGAUGGGCGAAAGGCUGACGGAGCAACGCGGCGUGAGUGAUGAAGGUCUUCGGAUCGGAGAACUCUGUUAUUAGGGAAGAACAAAUGUGUAAGUAACUAUGCACGUCUUGACGGUACCUAAUCAGAAAGCCACGGCUAACUACGUG